rnacentral:rRNA from 1 species
CCUACGGGGGGCUGCAGUGGGGAAUCUUCCGCAAUGGGCGAAAGCCUGACGGAGCAACGCCGCGUGAGUGAUGACGGCCUUCGGGUUGUAAAACUCUGUGAUCCGGGACGAAAAGGCAGAGUGCGAAGAACAAACUGCAUUGACGGUACCGGAAAAGCAAGCCACGGCUAACUACGUGCCAGCAGCCGCGGUAAUACGUAGGUGGCAAGCGUUGUCCGGAAUUAUUGGGCGUAAAGCGCGCGCAGGCGGCUUCCCAAGUCCCUCUUAAAAGUGCGGGGCUUAACCCCGUGAUGGGAAGGAAACUGGGAAGCUGGAGUAUCGGAGAGGAAAGUGGAAUUCCUAGUGUAGCGGUGAAAUGCGUAGAGAUUAGGAAGAACACCGGUGGCGAAGGCGACUUUCUGGACGAAAACUGACGCUGAGGCGCGAAAGCGUGGGGAGCAAACAGGAUUAGAUACCCCAGUAGUC